UACGUAGGCAGCGAGCGUUGUUCGGAGUUACUGGGCGUAAAGCGUGCGUAGGCGGUGUCUUAAGUUUGUUGUGAAAUCUCCCGGCUUAACCGGGAGGGUGCGGCGAAUACUGAGAUGCUGGAGUGCCGGAGAGGUAAGCGGAAUUCCUGGUGUAGCGGUGAAAUGCGUAGAUAUACGGAGGAACACCAGAGGCGAAGGCGGAUCGCUGGGCCAACACUGACGCUGAGACGGCGAAAAGCUAGGGUAGCAAACGGG
rnacentral:rRNA from 1 species